UACGAAGGGGGCUAGCGUUGCUCGGAAUCACUGGGCGUAAAGGGCGCGUAGGCGGCUGUUCAAGUCGGGGGUGAAAGCCUGUGGCUCAACCACAGAAUGGCCUCGAUACUGGACGGCUCGAGACCGGAAGAGGUCAGUGGAACUGCGAGUGUAGAGGUGAAAUGCGUAGAGAUCCGAAGGAACGCCGGUGGCGAAAGCGGCGGACUGGGCACCUUCUGACGCUGAGGCGCGAAAGCCAGGGGAGCAAAGCGGG
rnacentral:rRNA from 1 species